AUGUAGAGCAAUCUGUCUUUAAGCAGGGGUAAAUUACUCUUGAACAAAAUGAUCCUGGAGAGUUUUCCCUUGAAGGCAAGCAUCUUGU
rnacentral:pre_miRNA from 1 species